rnacentral:pre_miRNA from 1 species
AGCUUUUUGGAUCCAUGCAGAGAUUUCGUUAGAUACCAACCCAUAAUGGCUGAUCAGACUUCCAAGAUCAGUGAAGUU